rnacentral:rRNA from 1 species
AUGCGCAUCCUAAAUCAGCAGUUAAACCUCCCAUGGUUAUGCGCUGGCGAUUUUAAUGAGAUCAUGUAUAAUCAUGAGAAGAAAGGGGGGCCAGCUAGAGCACAAAGCCAAAUGGAGAAUUUUAGAGCAGCUCUAGCAGACUGUGGAUUGACAGAUUUGGGCUAUGUGGGGGACAAAUACACAUGGCGCAAUCAGAGUUGGGAUGUUAAACGCUUUGUUAAAGAAAGAUUGGAUAGAGCAGUGGGGACGAAGAGCUGGUGCACAAGAUUCCCUUACUUCAAAGUUUUAAAUGGGGACCCAUACCACUCAGAUCACAGACCAGUAACCAUCCAAAUAGAAGAAUCUGAGAGUUCACAUAUGCCCAGGAGAAGGAUUCGCAGCUUCAGGUUUGAAGCUAGAUGGUUACAAGAAGAGGAAUGUGAGUUUGUGGUUAAUAAUGCUUGGGCUAAAGCUAGCAUACAAGGGGAACAUAAUACCCAGGGGAUGUUACGCAUGGUAGCAAGAGAGUUAAAGGACUGGGAUGCUAAUGUUUUAGGCGAUCUCCAAAAGCGUAUUAAAACCCUUAAGAAAGAACUGGAGGAGGUACGCAGAGGGGACAUCAACCAAGAAGGAGUCAGCAGAGAGCACUUAUUAAUGGAGAAGCUAGACCGUUUGGAACAGCAGCAAGAUACGCAUUGGAAACAACGAGCCCAUAUUAAAUGGUUGCAAGAUGGUGACAAGAACACAUCCUUCUUUCAUGCUUUUGCAACCGAAAGAAAGAAAAGGAAUACCAUUAAGAAACUUAAAAGGGAGGGUGGUAGUUGGGUGGAGGGGCAGGAACAUUUGAAAGAGCAUAUUGCAAACUACUUUUCAAAUAUAUUCUCCUCCACGAUGACAGGAGAUAAUGGGGAAAUUAUGCGAGUGGUGCAGCCAAAGGUGACGCCAGAGAUGAAUGACAUGCUAUGUGCUGAAUAUACAGAAGAGGAGGUGAAAAGAGCCUUAGAUAGCAUCGGUGACUUAAAAGCUCCAGGACCUGAUGGUAUGCCAGCCAUUUUCUUUAAAAGGUUUUGGAAAACAGUGGGGAACCAGAUCACUAAAGAAGUACUGCAUAUAUUGAGAGGAGGAGAUAUGCCUGAAGGAUGGAAUGAUACCCUAAUAGUGCUUAUUCCGAAGAACACCAAGCCAAUGAGCUUAAAGGAUCUAAGACCUAUAAGUUUGUGCAAUGUGGUAUAUAAGGUGGUCUCUAAGGCAAUCACAAAUAGACUCAAGGAAAUUCUCCCCCACAUUGUCUCCCCUAAUCAGAGUGCCUUUGUACCCGGAAGACUAAUUUCAGAUAAUAUUCUAUUGGCAUAUGAACUAACACAUUUCCUACAAAGGAAAAGAAGGGGUCCCGUGGGCUAUGCGGCCAUCAAACUGGACAUGAGCAAAGCUUACGACCGCGUUGAAUGGAAAUUUUUAGAAGAUAUGAUGAAAAGAUUGGGUUUUGAUAGGAAUUGGAUCAGACUGAUAAUGAAGUGUGUCUCAACUGUCAAAUACCAAAUCAAGGUGAACCAAGAUACAACUGAUAUGAUUACACCCCAAAGAGGACUGCGCCAAGGAGAUCCACUUUCCCCUUAUUUGUUCGUCAUCUGUGCUGAGGGGUUCUCCUCUAUGUUAUAUGAAGCUGAGAUGAGGAGAUCACUAAAAGGAAUCAAGCUGCUUCAGGACAAGUGA